rnacentral:sRNA from 1 species
GCGGGUCCGGGUCCGCUGCUUGGCGCUGCGGGUGGCGGGCCAUGGUGGUUUGGAUUGAGCCGGGCCCGGCCGGGGCGCCGAGUCGGAGGGGGUGGCAGUGAGCGGCGGCAGAGGCUGCGGGGCUCGGUUUGGCUGACUGGGGAGUCGGCAGGCGGCAGGGCAGGAAUGAUAUCGCCACCGUCUCCAUCUGUAAGAAGUGCAUUUACCCCAAGCCAGCCCGAACACACCACUGCAGCAUCUGCAACAGGUGUGUGCUGAAGAUGGAUCACCACUGCCCCUGGCUAAACAAUUGUGUGGGCCACUAUAACCAUCGGUACUUCUUCUCUUUCUGCUUUUUCAUGACUCUGGGCUGUGUCUACUGCAGCUAUGGAAGUUGGGACCUUUUCCGGGAGGCUUAUGCUGCCAUUGAGAAAAUGAAACAGCUCGACAAGAACAAACUACAGGCGGUUGCCAACCAGACUUAUCACCAGACCCCACCACCCACCUUCUCCUUUCGAGAAAGGAUGACUCACAAGAGUCUUGUCUACCUCUGGUUCCUGUGCAGUUCUGUGGCACUUGCCCUGGGUGCCCUAACUGUAUGGCAUGCUGUUCUCAUCAGUCGAGGUGAGACUAGCAUCGAAAGGCACAUCAACAAGAAGGAGAGACGUCGGCUACAGGCCAAGGGCAGAGUAUUUACGAAUCCUUACAACUACGGCUGCUUGGACAACUGGAAGGUAUUCCUGGGUGUGGAUACAGGAAGGCACUGGCUUACUCGGGUGCUCUUACCUUCUAGUCACCUGCCCCAUGGGAAUGGAAUGAGCUGGGAGCCCCCUCCUUGGGUGACUGCUCACUCAGCCUCUGUGAUGGCAGUGUGAGCUGGACUGUGUCAGCCACGACUCGAGCACUCAUUCUGCUCCCUAUGUUAUUUCAAGGGCCUCCAAGGGCAGCUUUUCUUGGAAUCCUUGAUCA